rnacentral:lncRNA from 7 species
UCAGGCUGGAUGUGGCUCUGAGUAACCUGAUCUGCUGUAGAUAUCCCUGUUCAUUGAGCGGGAGUUGGAUGAGAUGACCUUUCAAUGUCCCUUGCAACUCACACAAUUCUAUGGUUCUAUGGUUUUAAGUAACCUGGAAAAGGACUAGGCAUUUUGUGGCAACUAUGAAGAUCCCAUGAUCUGGACUUCUACUUUACUGGAAAGAAACUGUUCUUUCCUACCUUUUACAGGGCUGAUACAAAGCAAUCCUAAUUCCUGCAUAUAGCUUGCUGCAAUAGGCUCACUCUGCAGAAGUGAUGGUCUGAAUUGCUGCUACACACAGCUUAGUGCGAAAUACAGAGCAGUGUCCUCACCAGUUUUCUGCUGCCAAUCUGAGCCAGCUAGCAGCUGUUUGUAAGAUCUAAGUGAUUCCUCUGCAUCAUGUAGUAAUCUGACUCUCCCACUGUGCAUUAGGGAGAGCUGACAUCUGUUCUUAAGGAUACAUAAGGGGCAUUUAGAAAUUGAGCAAAUGAAGAUUUAAGUGAUUUGCUGUUGCCAUUGGAUAUUGCAACAGGUGCAGGAAUGAGAAGUGAGAGCCUAGGAUACAUCAGGGCAGCAUGCAGCAGUUGGCUGUUUGGUGAAUGGCACACAGAUCCACAGAUGGACGUGCCUCCUCUGCUUGAUGCAUGCUUCUCUGUGGUGAGUAUCGCUGCAAGGAUGAAGCUGCUAUGCCCUCCACUCUGCAGAACGUCUGUGUUGGAGCAGGAUCCAGUGAAGUUGAAAUGUGCCCUUGAAGGCUGCUGUAAAAUAACUUCUCAAGACAUUUAUUGGGACUACAUCAUAAAGAGAACAUCUGCAGCUAUGCAAAAGUAGAUAAAGAAGAUGGAUGUGUUAACAUAGGUAUGCAAUUCCAACCAGACACAGCGUUGAGAUAAAUCUGAGACUUCAGACUUUCAAAGAUUACAUCCAAGUUCCAGUCUUAAAUUAUUAACUGAGGAGAUCAUGGUUUCUGAAAGAUAAAUAUUUUUACUUCCAGAAGUUGCAGAAUGAUGAACUAAAAUUAUUAAUACUGAGGAAGAAUGAUAGAAGAAAUAUAAAAGCAUUUAUUAAAAUAAAAUUUUAGUUU